rnacentral:sRNA from 1 species
GUGACUAUUCCGAUCAUGUCCGCUUCAUUAUC